GCCUGCCCGGCCCUUCCCCGCUGCCCAACCCGAACCCCCCUUCUCUUCCCUCUCUAUUGCCCCUCUCAGUUUCCCUCUAUUCCCUCUCAAUUCCCCCUCGAUUUCCCAUCUUUUCCCCCUCAGUUCUCCUAUUCCCUCUCAGUUAUCCCUCUAUUCCCUCUUAGUUCUCCUUCUAUUCCCUCUCAAUUCCCUCUCGAUCUCCCAUCUUUUCCCUCUCAGUUCUCCCUCUAUUCCCUCUCAGUUCUCCUUCUAUUCCCUCUCAAUUCCCCCUCGAUUUCCCAUCUUUUCCCUCUCAGUUCUCCUUCUAUUCCCUCUCAAUUCCCCCUCGAUUUCCCAUCUUUUCCCUCUCAGUUCUUCCUCUAUUCCUUCUGAGUUCUCCUUCUAUUCCCUCUCCAUUCCCUCUUCAUUUCCCAUCUUUUCCCUCUCAUUUCUCUUUCUAUUCCUUCUCAAUUCUCCCUUGAUUUCCCAUCUUUUCCCUCUCAGAUCUCCUUCUAUUCCCUCUCAAUUCCCCAUUGAUUUCCUUUCCCUCUCACUUCUCCCUCUAUUCCCUCUCAGGUCUCCUCCUAUUCCCUCUCAGUUCUUCUUCUAUUCCCUCUCAAUUCCCCCUCUAUUUCCCAUCUUUUCCCUCGCAGUUCUCCCUCGAUUUCCCAUCUUUUCCCUUUCAGUUCUCCUUCUAUUCCCUCUCAGUUCUCCUUCUAUUCCCUCUCAGUUCUCCUUCUAUUCCCUCUCAGAUCUCCUUCUAUUGCCUCUCAGUUCUUCUAUUCUCUCUCAUUUCCCCCUCGAUUUCCCAUCUUUUCCCUCUCAGUUCUCCCUCUGUUCCUUCUCAGUUCUCCUUCUAUUCCCUCUCAGAUCUCCUCCCAUUCCCUCUCAGCUCUUCUGUUCCCUCUCAAUUCCCCCUCGAUUUCCCGUCUUUUCCCUCUCACUUCUCUCUUUAUUCCCUCUCAUUUCUCCUUCUUUUCCCUCUCACUUUUCCUUCUAUUCCUUCACAAUUCUCCCUUGAUUUCCCAUCUUUUCCCUCUCAGUUCUUCUAUUCCCUCUCAAUUCCCCCUCUCUUUCCCAUCUUUCCCCUCUCAGUUCCCCCUCCAUUUCCCAUCUUUCCCCUCUCAGUUCCCCCUCUGUUUCCCAUCCCCGUGUCCCUCGCUGUCCCCUCUGCCCCCCCCUGGCCCCCGGGCCGUGUCCCCGCAGCCGCGGGCUUGGGGGCGCCGGUUUGAAUAAAGCCGCGCAGGCCGGACCCGGCGCCCCCCCU
rnacentral:lncRNA from 1 species